GAGGAUCUGAGCACAGACUGCUGUCGGGAGCAGAGAAACGCCCUGCCUUGAGUGUGGGGCAGGAAUGCCUAUGUGAGAGGUUAACCAGAUAUAGGACUCCUCUGUCUUGCUACGAUGGACAGCCACAAGGAUUCACUUGAAUAAAAGAAGCAACAGUGGGUGCCAGGCUGUUUGAAUUCUUAUUCGGGGUCCAGAGAGAUGGGUAAGAGCAUUUGUUGCUCUUGCAGCGGACCUGGGUUUGGUGUCUAACAUCCAUGUGGUGGCUCACAUCCAUCAGUAACUCCAUUCGAGGAGAUCCAAUACCCUCUACUGCCCUCCUCUAGUACCACACAGAAAUGUGCUGUUUUGUUAUACAUUUAUUACAAAGAAUCUCACAAAAAGAAAAUAUUUCAAAAAGAAUGCCAGGCUAAAGAACCUCCACCUGGAGAACUGGGGGAAGGCAGGGCAAUGUAAGUUCUUCUGCCUGCCCAAGACCUGUGGAAGAUAUAAACAGAACCAGUCUAAAAAUGGCUGAUAUUACCCAAGCCUGAAAAGGGCUCACAGAACACCAAGUCACCCCUGCUAGAAAGCUUAAUCAGGGCAUCUUAACAGAGCUCCUAAGCAGGCUUGGCAGUUCAGGAUUUUGUCUUCUGGUUGUUUUCUUUUCCACUUAGAAUAUCAACGUCAACAUACAGCACCCUCUGGCCAUACUUUAGCAGUUCCAGGAUGGCCAAGACGACAUCGUUGAUGUAACAGAAACCUGAGGCGUCAGACUUCUUUACAUGAUGCAGUCCCCCAGCCUGGCUCGCAGUGAUGUCCCUCUGAUGUGUAUCAAGUUUCACAGCACUUUCCAAAGAGCCACCAAUAGACAACUGACAACUCAGACAGGCCAUCGAUUACCGGGAAGUCCUCACCAACGCGGAAUCUCUGCAUCUGCUUGCUGUAUUUAGACACAUUAUCUGGGCGAAUAGAGCACAAGAGUUUAAUGUAGUCAUCACUGUGGGACUUGGUCAUCUCCUCAGCGUUGGCUCUGUGAGGACGAUAGAUUUCCAUUUUUUGGUAGAGAUGUAGUUGAGCUGCAAAUCACGAGUCAUGUGGAUUCGGUGAGGCUUCAUUGGGUGGCCCUGUCCAUAAGAUAGUUUCCAACAUCCCUGUUAACAGACGUUCCUCUUGCCCUGAGUCUGUGCCAUCUUUCUCACCACCCAGUGCUCCUGCCAGUCUGAUGUUUUAAUAUUUUUAGAUGGUGAUGCUUUGAGUUUAAAUGGCCUUUGACAAAUUCUAUCCUAAUUUCUAAUUAAGACAAGGAAAGAAAACAAAGAUGGAUAAGGACCAUAAAGUAAUGAAUGGACUGGAAACAGAAGUAAACUUAUUCAACAAUAAAA
rnacentral:lncRNA from 1 species